rnacentral:lncRNA from 1 species
GUUCUUUACAACAAGGUUUUAUUUUUCUUUCCUUUUGACAAAAAACAUUGAGGAGUUGUACAUUGUUGGUGGUCAGCUCGCUUCCCCGUUUGGGUCCAAACGAGCAGUUUAUGUUACAACAUCCCACCCCAGAGCCUGGGGGAUGAAGGCAGAGCAUCUCCCACUCACCCUCCCCAGGACAGACACCAGCCCCACGCCUGGGGGGCUCUGCCAUCCAAGCUCUCCUGGAGGGACAGGAGGAUGGUGCUGGGACAGCCAGCCUGGAGGGGACAACUGGCCUCUGUGUGCCAGGGCUGCCACACCCCUUCACACAACCACCACAGCCCCCCCAGGAGAUGUGCAGGGUUUCCAAUCCAGCCCCAGCACCGAGCUGGGAACCAGCUGCGUGCCACUGGUGAACUCCUGCCUGCCCAGGGCAUGUCCUAUGCCGGCAGAGGUUGAAAUACAUCCCCCCACCCCGCCACCCAUCCUGCCUCCCGUGGCCCAGCGUGGCCAGCAGCCACCGAGUGGCACAGUCCUGGUGUCCGGGAGGCUGCGGGAAUGUCCAGAAUUCCACAGAGGAGAGAUUGCACAGCAGCAAAGUCGAGUCCAGCGCCUUGAAAAGCAAGGCACAGGCUGCAGCGGUGCCUCGGGGCCGGUUUGGCUCCCCCCUCGGCACAGUCCUUCCCGUGCUUCUCCCGGGGGUGUUUUUGGUUUCAGAGUCGCGCUGUGGAGGUGCCACCGUGUCCCCGCAGGUCCCUGCCUGUCCCCAGCGCUGCGGCGGCUUCGGGAGAGGCAGAAGAGGGGCGUUUUCGGACCCUUUCCGGCUGAAAAGGGGCUGUGUUUUGUCCCACAGUUUCUGUACGUUAGUUGAAGACAGGGCUGACAUGUCAAAGAGCUCAGGUUCGGGCGCUGCAGCCCGGGGUGGCAGCGCGGGUGCGCCCCGGGGGCCGUGCCCCAUCCUCUGCCACCACCGACACCGCUCGCCGGCCCCGUGCCCGGGGCUGGAGGAAAGAAAAGCGCCCAAAAAGCUCGAAAUCCGCAUGAAACGUGCCCCCGCUCGGAGAGCAUCGCUGCCUCCCUCCCACCCGCCAGGCACAGACACAAAAAGCCGCCUCCUCCCCCCCUCCGCGGGCUCUUACUCAGAGCCCGGCGCAUUGUCAGACACCUUUCCGCAUUUAGAAGGAGACGAUACCGACACCUAUAUUUAGACCAGGUACGGCAUCGCCUUCCCCUGCCCCCGGCAGCACCGCGUCCCCUGUCCUCGAUCCCACGCGAUCCUCCAGACCCGGCUCUCCCAAAUCCCCGAGCUCCGGAAGCUUCAGGGUGAAGCCACGAGAGGGAACUGGAGGUGCCCGUGUCCCCAGCCACCAGCAGGGACCUUCCCCACGGCUGCAUGGGACACGGUUUGUCCCAUGGAGACAGAGGGGGAAUAGGCAGGGUCUGAGCCAAAGGCCUGCCCGUGGAAUUUUGGGCCCCUGGGCAGGUGGAAGUGUCUGUUUGGGAAGCAGCAGGGACGGCAGAGGCGCCCCCACCAUCAGGCAGGAAGAGCUUUGGGGGGCACAGGGGGCACUUUGGCCAUGGGAAGGAGGGGGUUCGGUCCAUGCACGAGCCCUGGAGCAGGAAGCCUUCAGAGCCACCGGGAUUUGCUUCUCACAAAGCAGAGCUGCCCCGGGGGGAGCUCACAAAGCGAUCAGGACAUGAUCUGCACAUGCAGGAGCAGGGCAGUUUGUGCAUCUUUCCAUCGGGAGAAGACAUGAGCUACCCAGGACCAAAGCCAAGCCUGGCCAGAGCUGCUGCUCAGCUGCACAGCAGCCCCAAAGACCCAGACCACAACAACCUGCAGCAAAGCAAAGCCGUGGGCAGGAGGAAGGGCAGGGUGAGGGCUGUGCUGCCUUCACCUGCCCAUCCCCACCUCCCAUCUGCACUCAGGGCCACCACGCCUGGUCCAAACACACAGAGUAUCGCCCAGCCCUCAGAACAAACCCUUCCCUGAGGCUCCAAAGGCACAGCACCCUCCAGCUCCCCAGGACCACGCAGAGGCUGACACCAGACACAGCUCACAGCAGAAACACUUCACUAGUCACCAGGGUGAGCCACCCAUAACCAUGGGCCACCAGCAGCACCUCCCCGGGCACAGCACUGCACCCACUGCACGGAUCCUUGAGAGCUGACAGCACUUAAUUAGCAGAUUAAUUAAUUGACUGGUGCUGGAAGGUGGCCCUGUUCUGCAUUCUCCGUGUUUGCAGGAGGGCUGAGCCACCCUGCUCAGGACAGUGCUCCUUCCCCAAGUCUCCCACACCGGGGCCGUGGGGUUUGCACGGCCAGCCCCUCAUGGCAGCCCCUCUCCAAAGGAGUGCCAGGCCCCUGAAGAGGGCACAGGCCAUGGCUGCAGGGGAAACUGAGGCAGGGCCGCUGCCAAACCCCCGUAUGCCUGUGCCUGGAGGAAAGAUCUUAAGAUACAUCAUGCACUCACAACAUCUUCACUCCCCUGCAGACAUGGAUUCCUUCUUUUCCUGGGAAAACAAGCAAAGAGGCCUCUGAGAGGGAGGUUUGCCAUCACCCCGUGGCACUGCCUUCUCCCUGGGACAGUUCUGUCCUCAUCCUUUGGGCAUCCCCCUCCUGCAGGCACUGAGGUGCCCAAGGAGCCCUUGCCACAGCCAUCUCUAAGAGAGAAAAUGCAAUUCCCAGCGCUGAAAACACCUGGGAGAGGGAGCAAGGUGACAUUCCCAAUGCUCUGUACAGCAGCCCCCCGGGGAGGCUCAGUCCUGCCCCCACCAAAGCAGGGUGCAGGCAGCAGGAGCCCCAAGGUGCUCGCCAGCAUUGUCAGGUGAUUAAAACAAAUCUAUGUAUGUGUAUAUCUUUAUAUAUACAGCAUAUAAAUAUAUAUACACACACACCCCCGGUAUAUACACACACAGGCACACCUAGAGUUCUCCGUAUAUAAAUAAAUAUAUGUCGGUGGGACA